UUGAGUUUAUAUUUUUGAUGCCAGACAUUCCUUUACUUUCAGCGUUGUGGAAUCUUUCAGAAGUCACUUGGAAUAACGAGAUGUUACGUGCCUUGUUUGUGUUUGCGUGUGUGUGUGUGUCUGUGCGAAUGGGUGUGAUUCUCUUCAGGUGUGCUGGCGACGUCACUCCUGCAGCUGAUCAGUAUGGGAUUAAAUGGAUGUGCCAAGCCAGAGUGGGGUGUUGCUUCAGUGGAAGCCAGAGCGGAACCAGAGAGGUUUUAAGGCCGGCGCGUUGCUUCUGCGUCGUUGCGUCAACACACUCGUUUCAAUUCAUGGUUCUAAAAGUCUUGCGUGUGUUGGAGAGAAAUUCACCGCCAGAACAACAGGUAGAGUAACGUGUUUUGUUGAAGACGACCUAGAGAGUCAUGUCUUCAUGUGUGGAAGUUGUUGGUUUGUUUAUGUAUCAAAGACUUUAUUGCCCCGUGCAUCGCCACUGCUGCUUUUCAUCUCCGACACAUUUGUCCCGUAUUUUCCUCCACAACUUUGUUCCCCUCGACCAGCAAACUGGCAUUUGCGGAGAUCUUCGUCCAUGAAUCCAACCCGCUUAGACAACCCGCCAAUGACUGCGUGUAUAAGCGUAUUUACGCAUUUCUUCCGACAAAAGUUCUUCAAUCUGAUCCGUUCUCUCCUAAACAGUCUUUGUUUUAAUAGUGGUGGUAUUGUGCUAUGAAAACGGAAAUGUGAGACUCCGUAAAGGAUGUAGUUAGCUGACGAAUCGCAGCUUUGUGCGCUGCGGGAGGGAAAAAUGGGUCGACGUGGUUUUGGGAGCCAGUGAAGAAGGGGCCAUACGCGUCGUCCUUUUGGAGAUUGUUUUCAGUUGCCUUGUUGUGUUUUCCAUCAUUAAAUAUCCUCUUUUGCCGUUGGUCCAAAUCUCCUGGGUUUAUUAUUUUAACUUGUUUACGUCCUCCAUCCCUAGACACUUUAGGGACGUAACACGAGACAACACUGAGGAACCAGAUUUUUCUUAUUCAGAUUGUCUGUAGCCUACCAUUUAUUUGUGUGACUGAG
ensembl:lncRNA